GGGGAUUUAGAAGAGAAGGUUGUAUGUGAAAAGUAUUGGGGGAAAAAAAAAUCAAAAGUGUUCAGUGGGCACCGGGGUGCCACCGGGGUGUUUAGCAGAAGAGUAGUCAUGGGCCAUGGCUUUAGGAAGCAAAGCUUUAGGAAAGUUGACCAGGGAAGCUAGGUUUGGAGGCAGUGGGGGUGGAGGAAGACAGUGAGAGCUCAGAGUUGGUAAGACAAGUUACUAGGUAAUUAAAGUAGUCUUCAAUUAUAGAAGAUUCUUAAAGAAAGUCAAUUACAUCAUUUUCAAGUACUUAGAGUAAUGGUCACAGAAAUGUCACCUUUGGUCUUGAUAAAUCUGCUGAAGCCAAGACUUUAAAUUGUGUGUUCCUAGCAUGAAGAUUGUAUAGACAUGGAUCAAAGUAAUACUUAGAAAUAAUUUGCUCUCAGAUUAAGCCAACCUCCUACUCCCCAAACAGAACUUCCUUUUGUCUGUAAUUUGUGUUAACAUAUCUUUCACAUCUGGCACAAAAUUAAACAAGACUAGUGUAUACUCACAUAACUUAAAAUUCUCCAUGAGUAUGUUCUAGGUUAAUGAGCAUUUGUUACUCUAUCAGGAGUUUCAUGAUAGAAAAUAACAUUAAGGAGUUCCUGUCAUGGCUCAGUGGUUAACGAAUCUGACUAGGAACCACAAGGUUGCAGGUUCAAUCCCUGGCCUCACUCAGCGGGUUAAGGAUUUGGUGUUGCCGUGAGCUGCAGUGUAGGUCACACACACAGAUUGGAUCUGGCAUUGCUGUGGCUCUGGCGUAGGCAGAUGGCUGCAGCUCCGAUUAGAUUCCUAGCCUGGGAACCUCCAUAUGCUGCGGGUGAGGCCCUGGAAAAGACAAAAAAAAAAAAAAAAAAGACAAAGAAAAUAACAUUAAAAACAAUAAAAGAUAGAAAAAUGAAAUUAACUCUCAAUCCACUACUGCAAUACCAGCUGUAUUUCCUUUUCCAGAUUUUGUUCAUUUGCUGCUGUGUCUCACUUUAUGAUGGUGAAACUGUUUACUCAUAACAAGAGAGGUAGUGAAAUUGACUGUCUUUAUCCCUAACAUAACAAUAAUUAUUCUGUUAUAAUUAAGUAAGAACUGCUGGUUUGUAGAUGGCUCUAUCAUGGUACAUGGACAAUUGCUUUCCCUGACUCUGAGCUCCUCAAAGUAAAGACCAUCCUGUUUAGGUUCUCGCACAGAAAGCCUGAUUAAAUCCAGCAAAAUGGUCUGGAGUUUACUGUCUUCUGCUCCAUCCAGCUGACUAAAUGAUAAAGGGUAACAGCUGCAGUACUUUCUUUGUGUGUGUCCUGAUGUAUCUGUGUUUUAAUUGCCAAGUUAGACACUAAUCUCUCUAGUGAGUUGGACAGGAAGUAGGUUGUUACGUCAUGGAAAAAAUAAUCUACGUCUCUGCAUACAGAUUUUAAAGAAAUUAAACCCUGGCUAUUUAUUACUAAUAUGUUUUUGAGAUUAAGUCAUCAUUAUUGGAAAGGAAUGUUUUACUACUUACUCCACUAAUAUUUGGAUGCAGCUACAUUCGGAGUCUAGUUAUAUGGAUUGUGUGUAAUGGUUCACUUGCUACCGAUAAGUCAUUAUCCCCAAUGAACCAGAUUUGCCUGCCUGGGGGAAAUGUUCUGGGAUGUACUACAUUUAUUUAGAAGGUUUUGGUUUGUUUAAUAGCCCUUUUUAGCAAAACCUGAAACUUGAAAGUUGUCCAAAUUCACUACCAGAAUGUAGCUAGAGCUCCUAUUUGGUGAUGAAAGUAUGAAAAGAUCUUGAUUCCUAAUGAUCUUCUAUGUCUCAAUUUAUAUAAAGUUGCAAGUACAUCAUGACCUUUGCUUAUGAGUUACAGAAGCUGAAACAAAAUUAGAUAAUGUUGCAUUCAGCAGUUGAAUACAUGCUAUAAAAAUAAAGCCAAAUUCUAAGAAAACCAAAAAUUAAUUAAAAUGCUUGAUGUAAUUUCAUCACAGUGAAGGUCCAAUACCAUUGUAUCUGCCAAAAAGUUUAUUUUACAGCAAAAAUGAUUUUUGUGAUAUUUUUAAGAAGCUAAAAUUUAUUUUCAUCAUUUCAGCUUUUAUCCCUUUAACUGAUAUUCCCAUGUGAUGCUUAUUCAAGAGUCAAAACAAAAAUAGUCUACAUGGGAAGAAAUUGUUUUUAUUGUCGUAAUGGUCUCCACUAAAGAUUAAAAUGCUCAUUAUUUUAAUCUAAAGUUUUAGAAGGAGAUCAGAAUUUUAUAAAAAAAUAUUUUCCCCAUGAAUUAUUUUUUCUUAUGCCUUGCUUUUUUAAAAAGUAAAUACUCUCUAACUCUGAAAAUUUUUUUCUCUCCAUAAUAAUAAUAAUUGCUAAUGAACAGGAGGGAAGGGGGCAGGGGACAACUUUUAAGAGAAUGACAUUAAUUAAGACAGUGGAUUCAAGUCCCAACAUGGAUUUUGGCUGCAUUAGAGUCCCAGCUCAUGGGUUCAAGUUCCAAUCUGAGUUGUGCAGUUUCAGCAAUACUAAAUGAAAUUUAUAGUGGAAAAAUUUCCACAAAGGUUAUCUCAGUAUAUUUUUAUAAAGUCUUUUGAGGUAGCAGUUAUUGUUUUAUUUGUUGAUGGGUCAGGAUAUUGAAGCCCAAAUCCAUGAAAAGUCUUUUUAAUUCUUAUAACAAGUCUAUGGAAAACCCAUAAUUUGAGUUUGUGGCUGGCUUCCCAGUGUACUGUUCUUUUCAUCAGCCUUGUAUAUCAUGUGUUGAUGGCAAUGGAACAAUGAUUGAAAGUUCCCAAAAAGUUACCUUAAAGUCUUUUUACUGCUUCAGCCAAAGUAUUUUGUCAUAGUCAGAUGUGGUGAUUUGUGCUCACGUUCUUACUCUGCCUUGGUCCCCCAGCAGCUUUGCUUGGCACAGUUUUAAAGCUCUUGCUUAUAAAUGGAAACAUGUGCCCUCUCCCAUCUCCUGUGUCCACUCUCCCCUCAUGCUGUAUCCUCCCUCUCACCCAGAUACUGCUACAUUUAAUGAGCUUACAAUUAUUUUUAAACUUCUUCCCAUGAGGUGGUAUCUUCAUGCCAGCUGGAAGAAAGAAUGUAAUCCAUCUUGCAGAGGCUAAACCAUGGGUCAUGGGAAGAGCAAGGGGAUGGUAAGAAGGGGAUAUUUGAUGGAACGUUCCAUAGAAAUGUCAAACUCAGUAUCACAUUUCUAUCCAACUCCAGAUUUUACAGAUGCAAAUGUUUAGAAUCAAUAAAUCCCAUCUGGCUAGUGGACUUUAUUUGCAAAUUCAUAUCAGAGGUUAUUAAUGGGUGAAUAAUGCUAUGAUCAAAGAACUAGAAAAGAGUAUACAUAUAUAUAUAUAUUUCUGUUGAAGAAUAACCAAACUGCAUGUGAAAGAACAAUGUAGAUAACUAUCCAGUACCAUGUGGUUGUUAGGAAGAGUUGCUUGAGGUUCCAUCAAGGAAGGAGCAUCACACGCCUUGGCCCUCUGGCAUGCUCAUCUCAGUAAGCAUCGCUACCAGCUACUUAGGUCCAAGCCUGGGACCC
rnacentral:lncRNA from 1 species